UACGUAGGGUGCGAGCGUUGUCCGGAAUUAUUGGGCGUAAAGAGCUUGUAGGCGGUUUGUCGCGUCUGCCGUGAAAAUCCGGGGCUCAACCCCGGACUUGCGGUGGGUACGGGCAGACUAGAGUGUGGUAGGGGAGACUGGAAUUCCUGGUGUAGCGGUGGAAUGCGUAGAGAUCCGGAAGAACACCGGUGGCGAAGGCGGCCCGCUGGGCAACUGCUGACACUGAUGCGCGACAGCGUGGGGAGCAAACAGG
rnacentral:rRNA from 1 species